AUGGUUUUAUAAGGGGCUCUUUCCCCGCUUCACUCGGCAUUUCUCCUUCCUGCCACCUUGUGAAGAAGGUGCCUUGCUUCCUCGUCAACUUCUGCCAUGAUUGUAAGUUUCCUGAGGCCACCCCAGCCAUGCGAAAGGAUCUUCUGAGAGAAAGACCAGAAGUGAGGCGGCCUCCACUGACACAGAGAAUCAGAUGUCUCCAGGAGCCACAUGAAAUCCUCCCAGCCUCGCUUGGGCUCCCUUAUCACCUCCCCAAACAACGACUCAUGUGUGAGCCUCUGUGUCAGGCUCUCAUCUCAUUCCAGGGAACCCCCGGCUCUGCCACAGGCAUGGGGGAAAGGGCUGGGGGCAGGCAGGUGUGGCUGCAUGACAGAGAUGAGGCUA
rnacentral:lncRNA from 1 species